CAGAAGAUCCCAGCAAUGAGAGUUGAAUGUUUAUGUUGCCCAGCAGCGUGAAGCUGAGAGAGGUUAGAACUUGUGCAGAGGGGAGAUAAUCAGUGGGUAUUUAUCCUCACUUUGGUGGCUGAGGUUUACUUUACUAAAAGAGGUGAUGAAAUGCUUAAGGAUCCACUUCAAAGGCUGGUGCCUGUUAAGAACAUGGCCACUCCCUUUCUUUAAAGUCAAAAUUAAGCCGUUGGAUUCUUGUCUCUAUUUGGAUGGCUCCAGUUCGGCUGCAGCAGGUGUCUGGAGGCAGCCUCCCGCGAUAGCACUUGUAUCCAGGUGUUGCGUGGACGAAGCACAGCAGCCUGUCAGGAUGAGGGACACGGAUGCAUGGUGCCCACUGUGUUAACGCUUCUCCGUCUCCAAGCCAUCCUUCUGGAAGAUCAUAUAUGGGGUCACACUUAGGUU